rnacentral:rRNA from 1 species
GACGUAGGUGGCAAGCGUUGUCCGGAGUUAUUGGGCGUAAAGCGCGCGCAGGCGGUUCGGUAAGUCCAUGGUGAAAGCGCCCGGCUCAACUGGGCGAGUGCCGUGGGGACUGCCGAGCUGGAGGGGAGCAGAGGCGAGUGGAAUUCCGGGUGUAGUGGUGAAAUGCGUAGAGAUCCGGAGGAACACCAGUGGCGAAGGCGGCUCGCUGGGCUCUACCUGACGCUGAGGCGCGAAAGCUAGGGGAGCAAACAGG